CGAGCACGUAGUGGUGACAUAUAGGCCUUGUUAAGUGUGCUUACAACCAGCUACACAGGACACACACCGACAUAUGAUUUACGCACGGUAUCUAUGUGAUCUGGUGAUUUUGAAGAGGUGUAGGAUAAGUAAAGGAAUUGCUGUCCUCAAAAUGAGUAUAAUUUUUUCAACAAGAGUAGAAUUUUUGACCCAGCUUGUUUGUGCAAGUGUACCUAAUAUUGUGGCCGUGACAAAACUAAAGAUUGUGCCUCUAUUCAACGCCACUUGGAGAGAAAAACAGCUACAGCGUGUAAAACCAGGACUACCCAAUCGUUGUGGGGGGAACAUUUUCAUAAAGAAUUAUGCGAAUGCAAGGACUUCACAUGUUCACCUCACCAAAUGGCUUGGUCUUGUUAAUCAAUAAAACAAGCAAUAUUUAAGAUAGUCAAGACAUCCUGUGUAUGACAGGAGUCUUCUGCUGUUUUGAAGGAUUCACAGCAAAAACACUAGUCAAAUAUCCUCUACAUAGCAGCAUUGCUCUGCUGUUUUUAAGGACUAACUGCAAGUCAAAGAUCCUAUAUAUGACAGGAGUGCGCAAAAAUGCAAGUCAAAGAACCUAUAUAUGACAGGAGUGUGCUGCUCUUUAAGAAUCUACUCCAAAAAUGCAAUUUAGAGAUCCUUUAUACAACAAGAGCACGGUGCUCUUUUCAAGAACCUACAGCAAAACUCCAAGUCAGAGAUCCUCUAUAUGACUGGAGUGUUUGGCUGUUUUCAAGGGUUUACAGCAAAAACACUAGUCAAGGAUCCUCUAUAAGCAGGAAUGAGCAGCUGUUUUCAAGAACCUACUGCACAAAGGCAAGUCUGAGAUAUUGCAUAUAACAGGAGCACUCUGCUGUUUGCAAGAACCUGUAUGACAGGAGUGUGCUGCUGUUUAAGAAUCUACUCCAAAAAUGCAAUUUAGAGAUCCUUUAUACAACAAGAGCACGGUGCUCUUUUCAAGAACCUACAGCAAAACUCCAAGUCAGAUAUCCUCUAUAUGACUGGAGUGUUUGGCUGUUUUCAAGGGGUUUACAGCAAAAACACUAGUCAAGGAUCCUCUAUAAGCAGGAAUGAGCAGCUGUUUUCAAGAACCUACUGCACAAAAGCAAGACUGAGAUAUUGCAUAUAACAGGAGCACUCUGCUGUUUGCAAGAACCUAAUGCAAAAAGGCAAGUCUAAGAUAUCGUAUAUGACAGGAGCACUCUGCUGUUUGCAAGAACCUACUGCAAAAAGGCAAGUCUAAGAUAUUGCAUAUGACAAGAGCACUCUGCUGUUUGCAAGAACCUACUGCAAAAAUCCACAUCAAAGAUCCUCGACAUGACAUUAGUGCCCUGCUGUUUUCAAAAACCGACUGCAAAAAUGCAAGAAAGAUCCUCUAUAUCAUCGGUUUGCCAUAGUUUCAUAUAUUUUGACAAGGUUUUCAACUAAAUAGGUUAGAUAUAGCUAUUGAAAAGAAUAUCUGUAGUCAGAUUACUAUUUAAGUUUUAAUAUUUGAGUGGGCCUCGGGACCCUCUGUAGUGCCAAAGUAGGCCCCUGAGGUUAAAAAGGUUAAGAAGCACUGCUCUCAAUAGCAAGACUGAUCAGUUGUUUUCAAGGACCAACCACAAAAAUACAAGCCCUCUCGAUGACAUGGCUGCAGUAUUUUAAGGACUAACUAAAAGUGCAACAAAGAUCCUCUAUAUGACAGGAGUGUGCUGAGUGUGGUGUUAUUUUCUAAUAAAAAAAAAGCUGACAACAGUAGAAACAUGCCCUUCAUUGCACAGCAA